rnacentral:snRNA from 1 species
GUGCUCGCUUUGGCAGCACAUAUACUAAAAUUGGUACAAUACAGAGAAUAUUAGCAUGGCCCCUGUGCGAGGAUGACAUGCAAAUUCGUGAAGCAUUCCUUAUUUAA